GUGGCUAAUACCGCAUAACGUCGCAAGACCAAAGAGGGGGACCUUCGGGCCUCUUGCCAUCAGAUGUGCCCAGAUGGGAUUAGCUAGUUGGUGAGGUAACGGCUCACCAAGGCGACGAUCCCUAGCUGGUCUGAGAGGAUGACCAGCCACACUGGAACUGAGACACGGUCCAGACUCCUACGGGAGGCAGCAGUGGGGAAUAUUGCACAAUGGGCGCAAGCCUGAUGCAGCCAUGCCGCGUGUAUGAAGAAGGCCUUCGGGUUGUAAAGUACUUUCAGCGGGGAGGAAGGUGUUGUGGUUAAUAACCGCAGCAAUUGACGUUACCCGCAGAAGAAGCACCGGCUAACUCCGUGCCAGCAGCCGCGGUAAUACGGAGGGUGCAAGCGUUAAUCGGAAUUACUGGGCGUAAAGCGCACGCAGGCGGUCUGUCAAGUCGGAUGUGAAAUCCCCGGGCUCAACCUGGGAACUGCAUUCGAAACUGGCAGGCUUGAGUCUUGUAGAGGGGGGUAGAAUUCCAGGUGUAGCGGUGAAAUGCGUAGAGAUCUGGAGGAAUACCGGUGGCGAAGGCGGCCCCCUGGACAAAGACUGACGCUCAGGUGCGAAAGCGUGGGGAGCAAACAGGAUUAGAUACCCUGGUAGUCCACGCCGUAAACGAUGUCUACUUGGAGGUUGUGCCCUUGAGGCGUGGCUUCCGGAGCUAACGCGUUAAGUAGACCGCCUGGGGAGUACGGCCGCAAGGUUAAAACUCAAAUGAAUUGACGGGGGCCCGCACAAGCGGUGGAGCAUGUGGUUUAAUUCGAUGCAACGCGAAGAACCUUACCUGGUCUUGACAUCCACGGAAGUUUUCAGAGAUGAGAAUGUGCCUUCGGGAACCGUGAGACAGGUGCUGCAUGGCUGUCGUCAGCUCGUGUUGUGAAAUGUUGGGUUAAGUCCCGCAACGAGCGCA
rnacentral:rRNA from 1 species